UACGGGGGGAGCAAGCGUUGUUCGGAUUUACUGGGCGUAAAGGGCGCGUAGGCGGUCAGUGCAAGUCAGUUGUGAAAUCUCCGGGCUUAACUCGGAAAGGUCAACUGAUACUGCUCGACUAGAGUGCGGAAGGGGCAACUGGAAUUCUUGGUGUAGCGGUGAAAUGCGUAGAUAUCAAGAGGAACACCUGCGGCGAAGGCGGGUUGCUGGGCCGACACGUGACGUGGAAGUGCGAAAGCUAGGGAGCGAACGGG
rnacentral:rRNA from 1 species